rnacentral:rRNA from 1 species
GACGAACGCUGGGGGCGUGCUUAACACAUGCAAGUCGAACGAAUUCGACCUUCGGGUCAUAUGAGUGAGUGGCGAACGGGUGAGUAACACGUGAGAAACCUACCUCGAAGUACGGAAUAACCCAGGGAAACUCGGGCUAAUACCGUAUGCCUUGCACACAUCGAAUGGUGAGUGCAAGAAAGAUUUAUCGCUUUGAGAGGGUCUCGCGGACUAUCAGCUUGUUGGUAAGGUAAAGGCUUACCAAGGCUAUGACGGUUAACUAGUCUGAGAGGACGAUUAGUCACACUGGAACUGAGAUACGGUCCAGACUCCUACGGGAGGCAGCAGUCGGGAAUAUUGCACAAUGGACGAAAAGUCUGAUGCAGCGACGCCCGUCGAGGGAGUGAAGG